AAGGUAGCAUAAUCAUUAGUCUUUUAAUUGGGGACUGGUAUGAAUGGCUAAACGAGAAAUCAGCUUUUUUUAUUAUAUAAAUUUAAUUUAUUUUUUUAGUGAAAAAACUAAAAUUUUUCAAAAAGACGAGAAGACCCUAUAGAGUUUUAUGUGGUAAUAAAUUAAAUUAUACUAGAUUUAUAUUAAUAGAAUUUUGAUCCACAAUUUGUUGGGGCGACAUUAAGAAAUACCAAACUCUUUUUUCUAAAUACUUUUAUAAAAGUAAGAUUUGAUCCUUUAAAAAAGAUCAUAAGAAAAAAUUACCUUAGGGAUAACAGCGUAAUCUUUUUUGAGAGUUCUAAUCGACAAAAAGGUUUGCGACCUCGAUGUUGGACUAAAAUUUAGGCAUGGUGCAGUAGCUUUGCUUUAGGGUCUGUUCGACCCGUAAUAUUUUACACGAUCUGAGUUCAGACCGGCGUAAGCCAGGUUGGU
rnacentral:rRNA from 1 species